rnacentral:rRNA from 2 species
AAAUUGAAGAGUUUGAUCAUGGCUCAGAUUGAACGCUGGCGGCAGGCCUAACACAUGCAAGUCGAACGGUAACAGGAAGCAGCUUGCUGCUUCGCUGACGAGUGGCGGACGGGUGAGUAAUGUCUGGGAAACUGCCUGAUGGAGGGGGAUAACUACUGGAAACGGUGGCUAAUACCGCAUGACGUCGCAAGACCAAAGAGGGGGACCUUCGGGCCUCUUGCCAUCAGAUGUGCCCAGAUGGGAUUAGCUUGUUGGUGAGGUAACGGCUCACCAAGGCGACGAUCCCUAGCUGGUCUGAGAGGAUGACCAGCCACACUGGAACUGAGACACGGUCCAGACUCCUACGGGAGGCAGCAGUGGGGAAUAUUGCACAAUGGGCGCAAGCCUGAUGCAGCCAUGCCGCGUGUAUGAAGAAGGCCUUCGGGUUGUAAAGUACUUUCAGCGGGGAGGAAGGUGUUGUGGUUAAUAACC